rnacentral:lncRNA from 1 species
CUUCCACAAAUAUUCUUGGAUCUCACAGGAAGUUUUAAUGGAAUUCAUCCUGCAAGAUUCUUAUUUUAACCCACAGUCCUUGGUUGUACGGAUAUGCUCCCAUCGUUAUUGAGAGUGAAGGUGGAGUGCAGACACAUCAUAGUCACAACUGGAGAGAGACAAAGCAACUUCCAAAGACAGAGUUCCUGUUUUAUACUCACUCCAUCUCUACAGUCCAGAUGUACCUACACAGGCAGUGGAGAUCCCAAAACAGAAAACCUCUAGUAUGUUCUCUUGGCACUGAAUUUCUGGAGGUUGCUCAAGUGACAUCUUUCAAGAACAAAGGCCCCUUUCUGAAAGAACAGAUAUUGUAAGCAAGGCAGCAGGAAAAGCUUCUCACCAGUGCUGCUCCUCACUUCUAGGGCAACACAGGAGUGUGGGUUGAGGGUCUUGUCUAGUGCUCAGGCAAUGAGCACUAAGAUAUAGACAUCUGCCUGCUGUGAAGUGGAU